rnacentral:lncRNA from 1 species
UUUUCAAAUCAUUGAUUAACAAUACGAUGUACUUCCUCUCAAAAACAUACAAAUUUCUUUCUGGAUAUCUUUCUGACCUUGGCAAGAGAUUGAUAACAUGACCUGUCUGCUUCUUCCAUAAAUUGUAUCACUGUGGUCUUGUUCUUUGCUAUCCAUGCGCGUGCUCUGUGAUAAAUGAGUUUUUGCUCGCUGGCAAUGGGGUUUUUGUUGGGCAAAUCGCGUGCUGAUAAUUGUGCCUACUGAUAACCACCGUUCAUCGUAAUCGGAGACAACUCCAUUAAUGGAUGAUGAUAGGGGCGCGAUGAAUGGAGUGAGGCACCUCCAGCUCUGUGAGUCAAGCGCGAUUGACGGCGAAGUAAGGGUUCUCUCCCUUUUGGCUCGCGGUGACUCCGACAACCGAUGGUAAGAUGUGGGGUUGCAACCGGCAGUUAUCUUCUUCCUCGACACCGGCAGCGGCGACCUGCUCCG